CCACCUGGGCCUCACCCAGACCUGGUGACUGUGGUCCCCACCUGGGCCUCACCCAGACCUGGUGACUGUGGUCCCCCCAGGCCUCA
rnacentral:miRNA from 1 species